UUUUUGGUUUAACUGUUACUAUUUUGCUAUCAGUAUCACUGCAUGCAGUAGCUGGUAUGACAAACUGCAGAGUGAGUUUAGCUAAUGCCUUUACAAUUUCUCAUUGAAGGUCUGGUUCCAAAACAGAAGGGCAAAGUGGAGGAAACGUGAAAAAAAUGAAGUUCUGGGGACUGUUCCAGGAAUUUCCUUAACACAGCCACUUGGUCUAUUUUUGGAUGGUCCAUUGGGUCAUUCUCCCCUCCUAGAUCACACAUGGAGGUCAAUGCCUCUUUCAACACUGGCUGUGCCAUCCAUGUCUCCAGCCUUUAGUCCUUCAGCCUUGGGGACAUUUGGCCUCAGCAGUCUUACCUGGACUUCUCUCUUCAGAAAUCCCAUUUUAAGUCCACAUUUUGGAAGGUUUCUGAAUGCUUUAAAUCCUCUCAUGACAACAGCUUCAGUACUAAUGAAAGCUCCUGGACCCCCAUCAGACCCUGCUCUCACUGCCUUCACUGAUCCAGCAACAGUUGAAAGGAAAACAUCGAGCAUUGCAGCACUAAGACUCAAAGCGAAAGAACAUUCAGCACAAAUCCCUCAAUUAAACCUCAUCUCCAGUCUCACAAACACUAACAAAGAACUUUGUUAGGAGCUCUCCCACAGACGAUAGCCACAGAGGGGAAAGUGAGUGCUUUCUUCAAUAAGUAGCUCCUGUUAGAGACAUGCAUCUAAAAAAACCCCAAAAAAACAGAAAUUCAAAAAACUCUCACAGUUGUAGUUCCUCCAUUUUCAGAAGUGGACUGAAAGGAAAUAACCCUACUAAAAUAGGCUUCAUUAUAAUGUGAAAUCAUGUAGCAGAUUGACUUGUCAUCAUUUCUAUAGACAGUGAAUUUCUGACACCACAGAAAUAUAAGCAGGAACCAUCUCAUCUUCAUAAAUCAGGCUAACAUGAAACUGAGGCUUUGAAAUCCCCACAGUUAUCAGAUGCUAAUCCAAAGGUUCAAAAUUCUUUGUAGGAAGAACUUCAGUUUUAUAAGCAAUCCUUAACUUAUUUCUCAGGAGGAACUCUUAGAUGCAGUACUUUAGACACGAGAAUUGGUAUACAGUAUGUUUCUAACUUGGAGGUCAUGCUUCAUGUUGAAGUAAAAAUGCUAGUGAAAUCUUGCAUUUUAGACAGACUUAGCAUGAAUGAGAUGCUGACUAUUUUCAGUACAGAUUUUUGAUUCAGAACUAGGUUUGUAUAAAGUACCUUGUUUCAAAAUAAAAAAUAAACAUUUGCUUUAUGUCA
rnacentral:lncRNA from 1 species